AUUGAACGCUGGCGGCAUGCCUUACACAUGCAAGUCGAACGGCAGCACGGGUGCUUGCACCUGGUGGCGAGUGGCGAACGGGUGAGUAAUACAUCGGGACAUGUCCUGUAGUGGGGGAUAGCCCGGCGAAAGCCGGAUUAAUACCGCAUACGAUCUACGGAUGAAAGCGGGGGACCUUCGGGCCUCGCGCUAUAGGGUUGGCCGAUGGCUGAUUAGCUAGUUGGUGGGGUAAAGGCCUACCAAGGCGACGAUCAGUAGCUGGUCUGAGAGGACGACCAGCCACACUGGGACUGAGACACGGCCCAGACUCCUACGGGAGGCAGCAGUGGGGAAUUUUGGACAAAGGGCGAAAGCCUGAUCCAGCAAUGCCGCGUGUGUGAAGAAGGCCUUCGGGUUGUAAAGCACUUUUGUCCGGAAAGAAAUCCUUGGCCCUAAUACGGUCGGGGGAUGACGGUACCGGAAGAAUAAGCACCGGCUAACUACGUG
rnacentral:rRNA from 1 species